GACGAACGCUGGCGGCGUGCUUAACACAUGCGAGUCGAACGGAAAGGCCUGCUUUCCCUUGUGGAUUGCGGGUACUCGAGUGGCGAACGGGUGAGUAACACGUGAGUGAUCUGCCCCCAACUUGGGUAUAAGCCUGGGAAACUGGGUCUAAUUCCCGAUAGGACUGCAGGGUGGUGCCUGUGGUGGAAAACGAUUUUCUAGUGGUUGGGGAUGAGCUCGCGGCCUAUCAGCUUGUUGGUGGGGUAAUGGCCUACCAAGGCGGCGACGGGUAGCCGGCCUGAGAGCGUGGACGGCCGCAUUGGGACUGAGAUACGGCCCAGACGCCUACGGGAGGCAGCAGUGGGGAGUAUUGCGCCAUGGGCGGAAGCCUGAUGCAGCGACGCCGCGUGGGGGAUGACGGCCUUCGGGUUGUAAACUCCUUUCGACCGCGAGGAAGCCACCUGGUUGGAAGGGUGGUGACGGUAGUGGGAGAAGAAGCACCGGCUAACUACGUG
rnacentral:rRNA from 1 species